UGAGUUCCUUCUUGUGUGUGCGUGUGGGGUUUUGUUUUUAAUGUAGUUUUCCUCUUUCUCGCUGCCUUUUACAACCUAACAUGAUUAGUGCCCUGGAAGGUAGAGCUCAUUAGAGAUGCCAAAUCUGGAAGACUGUCUGGAAUAUCAAGUGUCUGAAACAAAGCUCAUCUGGUCCUCUAAACGGUUCGAGCGCGAAGGAAAGAAGACGUUGUCUUUUAAGUGCAAUUAUAACUACAGGAAUUAACACAGCCCACCCUUAACUGGCCGAAAUGCCUCCGUUCUCCAUCAAACGCUGAUGCCGUGGUGAGCCCCACUGUCAGCAGGAAGAGAAUAGUUGGAGCAUGUGUAACAAGGUAGCUAAAAAUGACAUUUCUC
rnacentral:lncRNA from 1 species